GCAUCGAUAGCUCAGUGGCAGAGCGGUGGGGCGUUUACCCAUGCGGCCCGGGUUCGAUACCCGGUCGAUGCA